rnacentral:rRNA from 1 species
AACGAAUGCUGGCGGCAGGCUUAACACAUGCAAGUCGAGCGCCCCGCAAGGGGAGCGGCAGACGGGUGAGUGACGCGUGGGAAUCUACCCAUCUCUACGGAAUAACGCAUGGAAACGUGUGCUAAUACCGUAUACGUCCUUCGGGAGAAAGAUUUAUCGGAGAUGGAUGAGCCCGCGUUGGAUUAGCUAGUUGGUGGGGUAAAGGCCUACCAAGGCGACGAUCCAUAGCUGGUCUGAGAGGAUGAUCAGCCACACUGGGACUGAGACACGGCCCAGACUCCUACGGGAGGCAGCAGUGGGGAAUAUUGGACAAUGGGCGCAAGCCUGAUCCAGCCAUGCCGCGUGAGUGAUGAAGGCCCUAGGGUUGUAAAGCUCUUUCACCGGUGAAGAUAAUGACGGUAACCGGAGAGGAAGCCCCGGCUAACUUCGUGCCAGCAGCCGCGGUAACAC